rnacentral:lncRNA from 1 species
AAAACCUGGGUGCUCUCUUGUGGGGACCCUGACUUGUAAUUCGAGAUCGCCGAAUGUACGUACUCAGUGAUCCCAGAGAUCAAUGCUUACUGAAUACACAAAAACUGAAUAACAAGAGUCAUACAUCCAUACACACUGUUUGAUACAAAUAAUGACCAUUACGGACAUGUCUUACGUAGAUAGGGACUUGAAGGCCAACACACCAAACAAAACUAAUAGAGGAAAUCUUGCUUGAAAGCGUGAACCCAUGCCAGCGGCCUUAACCUACAAGCAUUCUGACUAGGAAGCAUCCUCAUUCACACGAAUGUCACCAAGGUACUCUUCACCAUCUCCCAUUCUCUCUUACCUGGUCAAUGAAAUAACCAGUGGCAAGCCAAUGAGUACUUUGAACGUACUCGCAACCAACCCAUGUUGUGGAACAAAUUAAUAAUGAAACAUGACAUAACAUUGGUAUGCUAUUUAUGCGGAAAGCAGAUUUUCCCUAGUGCAAUAACACGAUCAAAUUCUUGUGCGACAUGCAUCACAAGGCAUAGCGGUAACCCAAUGAACUAGUUACAGAUAUCAAUAUCAACUGAGGGUUGAACAUCCCAUGUCCACCCAUCAUGCCAAGUCACCUGACUCAGCUCAAGCAUCAUCUUUCCCAUGUCACCAUCUUUUUCUCAUACGCCCCCCCCCCACACACACACACACUUGGUUUAUGCGGAAACAACUGGACGUAGUUUAAGAAGGAUUACCCAACUGUCCUUGAUAGUGGACACGGCUAUUAAAAUAGUUUUACACUCUGCACAGGUUGCGCGUUGUACCCACUAGACUCGGGGAACUUCUGUAUCAUCUACGACUCGCGGUAUAUAACACACAACCCAACAAGGGGGAUCUUCGAUCCAACAUGAAUAUAUGCAUAAGUAAGGUACCACAUGACAUGCAAAUAAAAGUUUCUUAGGCAUGGUCAAAGGGCUGCUUGCCCGGUUCAGCACAGUCUUCGAGGUCUUCUCAUGCUUCUCAUCUAUCUCUGAGUACUUCGUCUACUUCGUCAACUAUCGUCGGAAACAACCAUAGUAAACCACACAACAAGCAGAAAACAGAAGUGCUUUCUAAGUAAGAGUUUUAUUUUCCUUGUACAUCUCUAGUCAUAAGAAAAAUUCCUAAAGCUUGUCUAAGGGAGUUGGACCACCAGAGAUGUUUGAACGGUGGAAAUGGAGGCAUCACUCGCCCCACAAGAAUUCUACAGACAACAUUCUGGUAAAAAUGAGUGGAGGUACUCAUUUAUUAGGGCAUUAUUUUAGAAAUAUUUAGGAAGUGGUUUCAUUGGAUUUAUAAUUGGUAUGAAUUUCCUAUGGUUUUCUAACAUGGAAUAAAUAGAAAUAGGUGCUAUUUAUUUGAUGCAACAAUAAUAUGGCACAGAAAAAUGUUGACUAAUUCUAGAAAAGUAGUGCAUGAAAUUCUAAGUCUUUGGAAAUUGGAAUCACUCCAUUUGGAGUUGAUUUGAGUGUUGCAAGACUUUACAAAGGUGGAGUUUCAAAUAUUGAAAUUUGUAUUUGAAUAUUAAUACUACAGGAAACUUCUUGGAAAAAUGUGCAAUGCACAUAUCUGGAUAGGUGGUGAUUUUAUGGAUUUGCAGGAAUUUAUAUUUUGGAGUUCAUAUGAAUUUAUUGUGGAUUUUACAAGUUUCACCGAACUAGAAAAAGAAAAGGAUUUACCCAAAGGGCUAAACGGCGCAUCACGUGAGGGAUAGCAAUUGGGCCGGCCCAGUAGCUUAGCUGCGCGUGCGCAGCGGUCACGCCGAAGGCGCAUUCCGUGGAAUGCAUCUCCCACACGAGGAGGCGGCAUCCAGCCAGAGGCGCGGCCACUUAAACAGGAGGGGGUCGGGUCCUAGCCACUGACCAGCGGGGCCCGCUCGUCAUCUCCAUCAUCCUCCUCUCGCUCGAAACAGAGGAUAGCAGUGAAGGUUGGUCGAACCGGUGCUAGUGCCCGCUCCGGUGGCUCCGACCACGUCCUACGGCGCUCCGGCCACCAGCGGGCUUGGGGCGGCCUACCGCACACACCUUGGGGCGGCCUAUUGCACACGCCUUGGCGACAAUGGCCGAGGCCACGGUGGGGGUUACCGCUGGUUUUGUGGGGCAUGUCCAUGCGGGCACGGAAAAAGGAAAAUAGGACGCGUGGAGGGAUUGGUGGAGAUGUAGGGUGCCCUGGGGUGAGUCCUAUGGAGUGGAGGGGCUUGGGAGUGCCCAGAACCGAGCGGGGGCCUAGGCGGCAUCGCUGUUUGCAGGAGGAGAGAGAGCACGGGGAGUGCCCUGGGGCUGACCGGGAGGCGAUUAGGAGGGAGUGGGUGGACCAGGGGGUCAGUGUACUCGGGGAGAGGAGUAUAUAGUGGAGGCGCUGAAUCGGGAGUUUGGUGGCCACGGAUGCUCUUCGGGCGCGACGAGCACACGCGUCAGGCCUACCUUGGAAGCUUGCUCGCAUCGCGGAGGGGCACAUGUUGCCAAGGAGGGUCUUCUGUCACGCCGGGACACGCUACCACAACCAGACACAAGCUGCAACAUGAGGACAACGUGCAGAGCACCAUUACUGCAUGCAGUCAACGUGGUCACCAUGCUAAUGCUUGUCAAGGACCAUCCUUUGGCCACGCGAAGGUGUCCAGCAUUCAAGGCAUGUGUGCGAGAGGGCAGUGACGCAAGUUGGACCUGAAUGGAGUAGGUUGGGUUAGAUUUGACCACUCAUUCAGUUUGCAGUAGCAAACUUGGGGCUAGCAAAAGGUGUUCUUGCUGGAAAACUUUUGAAAUUAAACCAAUUCUAGUAGUCAUAGGCAUGGAGGGACUACAAGACUUCCAAGUUUCAGAUCAACGAGAGGAGUGUAGCUAGCACUUGCAGUUCAAGGCCACAUUUCUGCCAAAAAUCAAGUUUCAGAAGGACUGCUCAUAUUUUCCACAUGAGCAUGCCAUAUCUUUGCUUGAAAUAGUGCAUUAGUAUACUAGAGAUGCUCUGGAAGGAUGUGGGGGCAUUAACUUGAAUAGAAUUAUUGGGAGAGAGUAAAAGAGGGCCUGCCAUGGUAGAAAGGAGAGGUAAGGAGAGGGAGUCACCCUCCAAUAAUUGACCAGGGGCAAUGACAAAGUUACUCGAGGUGAUAGAGGGAUAGAAGAAGUUGUGGUAAAAAUUUGAGCUCAAGAAGAUAAGUACAAGGGGUCAAAGAAGAAAGUUUGGUAAGCGAGCAGAAGGUGUUUGAUGGGUGUUAGGGCUAGAAAAUGAAUUCCAAUUGCUAAGAAACUUAACACGAUCACAUGAUAGGUUAAAUGAGACACGAUACCAAAUUUGGGAUUUGUUGGAGAAAGUUUCCAGUGUAGACUUGAAAAAUCCUAGAAAUAGGCAUAAAUUACUUUCUAAAGAUAAACCCAUGCAAUUUAAUUCCCACAAAUUCGCCACUUGUUGUGGUGACAUUAUUUGAGUAUUAUAGCAUGCCCAAAAACUUUGGGAUCAAUUGGAGAAACUUCACAAUGUAAAGUUCCCCAACUCUAGAAAUCAGCAGGGGAGGUUUUGAGGGAUUUUGGACAAGUUCAUAUAUUCUCCUUGAUGCAACACUUGGUUUGGAUGCAUUAUUGGAGUAUGCGAACAUGUCCACAAAAUUUGAGCACAAUUGGAGACACUUGGCAAUGUAGAGUUUCUCAAAUUUGGAUCUGGACACACAGGGUUUUCGAAUAUCUAGCUAAAUCAAAUCAACUUGGACUGAUAUGAAACUUGGCAAGAUCAUCACAUAUAUCAUGUGUGAAAUGCUAGAAUUUUACUAGGAUUUAUUGGAAGUAUUUUCUAUGGAAAUAUUCCAAAAGCUUGAAAUAGGCAGAAAGGGUUUUGAAGAGUUUUGUCCAAUAUUUUUAAGAUGACCAUGUUUUGAAACUCUUAUACAUUGAAUAUAUAUGUCCACUAAGUUACCCUAAAUUUUCUCAAAUAUUUUGAAAGCAGAAAAAAUAACCUUUCUUCAAUAAAGAUCAUUUCUGGCCUUAGAAGAAUGUAUUUAAAUAAAAUAGUAAAAUAGGUUUUAAAAUAAUAAGCUUGUGGUUUUGGGAAGUCUGUUUAAUAAUGGUAUUUAAAUAAAAAUAUUUGGUGCAAAACAACCCCCCUAAUUUGAGGACUUGUAGUACAAAUCCCAACUCACAGGUUUUUGAAAGCUUAAAUAAAAUAAAAUAUUUUUUGUAAAAAUAGCUUCUCGUCUUAUACACAUGGUAUGGUCACUAGGCAAAUACUUUGCGAUGGAUGUGAUUCUAAGGGGUAGUAGGAACUUGCUGAUUUAAACACAAGCAAACAAGCAAGCAAGCAACACUCACAUCAAGCAUCACAAGCACACACACAAAUUUUAAGUGGUCCUAAUUUUUUAGAUAAGUUUAUUUAGUCAGGAGAGCCAAAACACAUGGUGUGACAGACCUAUCCCCCUUACAAGAAUCUCGUCCCCGAGAUUCCUAGGCUAGGCGUUGGAGAGAUAUAGAACUUUGGGUCGAUGGCAGCCUUCACGUUCCGAUGUUGCUCGUGCUUCGAUGUGGUUGCUCCUGUGGGUCUUGAAGUGCUUGAUGAUACAUCUUCGAAUGCUCCGCUCAUCUUCGCGUAAUCAUGAAUAGGGUUUUAGCAAUAAGCUAGGCUUGACUAAGGGUCAAGGGCUUGGUGAACUAAGUUGUCGCAAGGGUUUGGCUUACAUGUGUACUCCAAGAUCAGAAUAUGUGGCAAGGUAGUGUCUGGGUGCUGGUCCCGAGGCUGCGCACGUUGGUUAGUGACACCUCAAUGUCUCGUGUUAGAAUAUAAGGGUUCGUCGUAGUCCUUUCGUCGAGAUCUUCUGCUUGGGUAAGUUGCUCGUGUAUGUGCUUCAUUCUUCUCCGACCGUUUUUCGUUGUCGUCAUGAACGCAUGCUUCCGGUGUGUCUUCACAUGUUUGGUCUUCUAGCCUCUUCGUAGCUUCUCGUGAAAACUCCUGGGUUGGGUCUCGUCCAUAAUAUUAAGCUUAAGGACACGAUGUUGGAACGGGUCUUAUAACCUAGGGGAGUUCUUGAGGGGUCCUAGAUGAGCUGGCUACCCGGAAGUAUAGACGAGUCAUCUAAUACCUAUGGUGUGCAGCUUGGCAAGCGGGGUGAACUUCCCCUUGACAGGGGCUUCACCAUGGUCUAGUUAGGACUCAUGUCCCUGAUUUGGACCAAGAAGGGCUCUUUAGUUUCCCUUGAUGUCCAAAGGCUUCAUCGACUUGAACAUCGAUGCUUCUUGGCAUAGUAGAUGUAACCGAUAGAGGAGCGGCGGUUGACUUCUACUACUUCUUCUUCUUCGUCAUGGUUUCCCAACCAUGGCAGUUCUUCACCUCGUCUUGGGUAGGAUUGACUUCUGCUGCUUGGAGAUUUCUUCGAGGGGUCCAUUUUCGCAAGGUAAUACCUUACUCUUGAGAGGCAUGGUGAUCGGUGUUCCUGGGGCUUGUCCAAAUAGGACUAAGGUGUUCCUCCUCUUAUUGGGUGAAUAAGUAUGUCAUCCAUGACGAUAACAACAUACUUACCCAAGCAUCACAUAAGCACACUACUGAUGAGAUAGGUGAGAGGAGCGGGGGUUUCUUAUGGGCGGUCACUUGCUGAGGGGUUCGCGGUCCAACAUAAUCUAGUCCUUCAUGUCCAUGUUCCUCAUAGACACGAUUAUUGAUGGUCAGGGCGGAUGAUUGGUCAUAGCCCAAUACCUUAGAGUCGUUUCCUAUGGUCAUAACCCGACCAUCCUAGGGCUCAGUGAAUCUUUAGGGUCUGAAGAACUUAGGAUUUGAGUCAACGUCUAUCAUCUUAUGCCUAAGCACAUUCCUUAGAUGCCAAUAGUAUAGUCUCUAUCUCGGACAAAAAUCACCCUAUAUCAGCAAAGGUACCAUCUCACUUAGGUCAACUCCACACCACUCAUGCUAGUCAACUCCAGGAUCUUAGGGAAGGACCUACCCUAACCUCAUAAGUAUACUAUAGCUAAGUUGCACCUAUAUUCCCAUGUAAGAAUUCUCGGGAAAACAUACAAGCUGCUAAGAUUGAAUCAAGGCACUGGAAAUACAAGUGCUCACCUUGAUUAUCCAAUGGCCAGGGUGUUGCAUCCCUAUGUUAAGGAAACAUGUAGUGUACCAACCCAAGGUCUUGUUUCCUUCCUACGAAUCCAAUAAAGCGGUCCAUCAAUCCCAUCAACCAUCACUGGAGCCAUCAAUCCUACAAAUCCAAUAUCGAUGGGGUUUUCCAUAAUCACCUAGAGUCCUUGUAAUCCACAUAUCAUUGCAAGGACUAUUCCCUAGUAUACCCACCAUCUUCCAAUAUCAUGGCCAACUAAUCUACAAGGCCAGGUUUAUGUAGAUUCGUAAAUCAAUUCGACAACUCCAAUUACUUCUACUUGCUACCCACAUAGAAACAUGGUAUCAUGAUCGAGAUCAUCAGACUAAAUCCAAUUUACUCCGGACCAUGCAGCCUCAUUCACAAUCGAUACUCUAUUAAGAUCACCUGUUAAUGCCAAAUCUCAUGCCCAACAAGAACUCUUACUCGUUACCCCCAAGUCAUUUUGGUAACAUCAUCUAACCAUGACUACUACUUGACAAAGUAUUUCUACUGUACCACCAAGAAUUUUAGCUCGUGAUCAAAAUUUUCCUACUGAAUCCGAACUUACUCCAGGAAUAUGUAGGUUAUGCUACUUUAUCAACUUGUCCCACCAUGUUCGCCUACCAUCAUAAGGGUCUUACGAUCCACCAAGAUAGUCUAGCUACAUCCUCAAGACACCUAUUAUCAUCAGAACAACCCAUUGUCUACAAAUAAUAUAUUCUAGAAUGAUCCUUCAUAUGGCAUCACGGUUCUGGUGCUAGCUUUAGAAUUAAGGGUACUUGUUCACUGUGAUCACUUGUUCCAUAGUGGACCCAACGCUAAGUGGGGGUUAUUAGAGCUCACCAGGUGCUCUGUCAAUUUGAUGUAUUAGACACGUGACCAGAAGGUUGAGCUGGGGAAUCUUGUGAGGUUUAGGUUGGUCUAGGGAGGGACUUCCCAUAUCGAGGGAAUGCAUAACUUCUAUGGGUCCCUUCUAGUUGAGCACAUUAUAGCCAGCAUAUUCAGUGCCAGUCGUCUGACGAAGUGGACCCUUGGUGCAUCUUGUCUUGCUGGUCUCCAACUGUCGAGAAGGGUUGAAGGGAGAAAAGUAGCAUAGAGGGGAGUGCUUAAGGGGGUGGUAUAGUGCAAGUGCAAUCAAACAAGUGCCGAAAGGCCAACACAAUCAUCAAGAUGAGGCAGGUGAUAUAGUCGCAUACUCAUUGCCUAGGGCAAAUGUUCGACGUAUAUCAAUGCAUAAACAAGUAAAACAAGCAACACAAAAUAUGGUCCCAUUCGAACCAUUUCACGGACUCAACUUCACAUAGGGGGGUUCAUGACUCAUCCUACCCUAGGGGUCCUCUAACUCAAUAGUUGUGCUUGCUUCGUGCUUUGGAGAGGAGUCCGCACAAUCUUCUGGUCCUUCUUAUGGUGUUGCUAUGUCCCUCGUUGUUGUUUGUCGAAUCGACUUGGGUUGAGCUGGAAUGAGUCCUUCACGACUUCUCAUCUAGUGAGCCAUCGGCGAAGGGGGUUCCUCAUGGUUGUUGUCGACAUGGUAUUUUGUUGGUCUCAUAAUCAUGUCGAUGUCUUCUUGCCAUCCUAGGCAUCGAGAGUUCCUAGUGGAUAACCUUUAUGCAAUGACAUCAACAAGGCUUGAUAGAGUUCCGACCCGUCAGUUAUGUUGAUGGCAAUAUAGACACCAAGAGUGGGGGGGUGAAAAGAACCGUUUUCCUGCUCAGUGAGGUGAGGCGGACCAAAUGGCAAGAUUCUCACCCACCAAUGGUGGUCGACACAACAUCGAUAAUGACAGGGUCGCUCCAUUAGUGAUGCAUAUCAUGAUCUUGCAUAUCUUAUGUCCUGAUUAUCAUAGCCAAAGUUGUACCACUCUCGGAUGGUGUCGAUGGUGUCACCAUCUUGUGAGUCUUGAUGCCCUCAUUCCUCGAGAAGGUAGCUUCUAUUGGUGUCGUCUUGUCAUAGCGUUGCCAACCUUGUCCUCCACGUACGUGGGUGAUCCCUUGGAAAGGUUUCUUCCUUCCAAGUUACCCAUGAGCAUUUUAAGCAAUCCAAUGGUCACGGGCGUAAGGGUGCUAGCGACCAUUUGCAAGUUUUGAAAAAGCAGAUGAGGAGAGUCGAGAGAAUAAGGGUGGAAGUGCUAAGGCAAAAACUUCCGCUUUCUUUGGAUAUUUAGGAGAGUUGAGAAGUAUAGAGGUUUAGCAAGUGCUUUUGAAGGGUUCGGAAAAGCAAUUUUGUCCUAACUAAUGUCCUUGCUAACUAAGGGCUUCCUACAAUCAGGAUGGCUCUGAUACCAGCUCUGUGGGGACCCCGACUUGUAAGACAAGAUUGUCGAAUGUACGUGCUCAGUGAUCCUAGAGAUCAAUGCUCACCGAACACACAGAAACUGAAUAACAAGAGUCUUACAUCCAUACAUACUGUCUGAUACAAAUAAUGACCAGUAAGGUCAAGUCUUACAUAGAUAGAGCCUUGAAGGCCAACACACCAAACAAAACAAAUAGCGGAAAUCUUGGUUGAAAGUGUGAACCCAUGCCAUCAACCUUAACCUACACGCAUUCUGACUGGGAAGCAUCCUAGUUUGCAUGAUCGUCACCAAGGUACUCUUCACCAUCUCAUGUUCUCUCUUACCUGGUCAAUGAAAUAACCAGUGGCAAGCCAAUGAGUUGUUUGAAUGUACUCGCAAGCAACCCAUGUUGCAGAACAAGGUAAUAAUGAAACAUGACAUAACAUUGGUAUGCUAAUUUUGCAGAAAGCAGAUUUUGCCCUAGUACGAUAACAUGAUCAAAUUCUUGUGCGACAUGCAUCACAAGGCAUAGCGGUAACCCAAUGAACUGGUCAGAUAUCAAUAUCAACUGAGGGUCGAACAUCCCAUGUCCAUGCAUCAUGCCAAGUCACCUAACUUAGCUCAAGCAUCAUCUUUACCAUGUCACCAUCUUUUUCUCAUACGCCCCCCCCCCACACACACACACNAACUUCCGUGUCAUCCACGACUUGUGGUAUAUAACAUACCCGAGGUAAGAACCUGAACAAUGCCUUUCCCAUGGCGCCACUAAACAAAGAGUCCACUCGUUUGGUACACAACUCACAUGAUGUAGAUCAUACGACCUCGUUCUAGAUCGCAUCAUCCAUGUGGGGACGGACAAUGUGCCAAGAACCUGUAAAAUAGCAUAGUCGUCCUACCUGGCACGACCCCGUCCCGAGAGUGGCCACCUGACACGACCCCGUCAAUAGUAAUGCGGGCUCUCUUCCAGUAUCGACCAUGGUAAUCAACAAAGCCCCGUCCCAUAAGGGGUAUCGUGGUCGCACAUGUAAGGUUGGGACGGUCGACAAAUCUUAAAUCUAAUCCCGUUUUCGAAACCACACAUGCAAAACCUUUCUUGGUACAUCACUUCUUUCUCAAGUGGUCAUCCAUUUCAACACCAUCACCCUCGGGCAUUAGUGGCACCCGAUGGGGUUCUCAAAAAGUCUUUGUAAACAUUCCCUUCAUCGUCACCAUGCAUAUUUCCAUCGCUUCUUGCGUAUAAAUUACUAGCAACUAUCUACAUCCCACAUGCACAACCCUCAUAGGUGGUAGGGUCAUGCCCAAAUGCAGGUUUCAACGAGGUGUUCUUCAGGGACAACCCAACAAGGGGGGUCUCCGGUCCAACAUGAAUAUAUGCAUAAGUAAGGUACCACAUGACAUGCAAAUAAAAAAUUCUUAGUCAUGGUCAAAGGGCUGCUUGCGUUGUUUAGCAAAGUCUUCGAGGUCUUCUCAUGCUUCUCGUCUAUCUCCGAGUACUUCGUCAACUAACGUCGAAAACCACCAUAGUAAGCCAGACAACAAGCAGAAAACAAAAGUGCUUUAUAAAUAGGAUUUUUAUUUUCCUUGGACAUCUCUGGUCAUAAGAAAAAUUCAUAAAGCUUGUUCUAAGGGAGUUGGAUCAUGAGAGAUGUUUGAACGGUUGAAAUGGAGGCAUCACUGGCCCCACAAGAAGUCUACACAAAACAUUCUGCUAAAAAUUAGUGGAGGCACUCAUUUAUUACGGCAUGAUUUUAGAAAUAUUUAGGAAGUGGUUUCAUUGGAUUUGGAAUUGGUAUGAAUUUCCUAUGGUUUUUCUAACAUGGAAUAAAUAGAAAUAGGUGCUAUUUAUUUGAUGCAACAGAAAUAUGGAAGAUAAAAAGUUGACCAAUUCUAGAAAAAUAGUGCAUGACAUUCUAAGUCUCUCAAAAUUGGAAUCACACCAUUUGGAGUUGAUUUCAGUGUUGCAAGAAUUUACAAAGGUGGAGUUUCGAAUAUUCAAAUUUGUAUUCAAAUAUUAAUACUACAGAAAAGCUUCUUGGAAAAAUGUGCAAUGCACAUAUCUGGAUAGGUGGUGAUUUUAUCGUUCUGCAGGAAUUUGAAUCACCUAUUUUGGAGUUCAUAUGAAUUUAUUAUGGAUUUUACAAGUUUCACCGAAAAAGAAAAAAGAAAAGGAUUUACCCAAAGGCCUAAACGGCACAUCGGGCAAGGGAUAGCUACUGGGCCGACCCAAUAGCUUAGAUGCGCAUGUGCAGCUGCCACUCCGUAGGCGCAUUUCAUGAAAUGCGCCUCCCACGCGGGGAGGUAGAAUCCAGCCGGAGGCGCGACCACUUAAACAGGGGGUGGGUCAUAGCCACUCACCAGUGGGGCCCGCUCUUCAUCUUCAUCGUCCUCCUCCCGCUUGAAACAGAGGAGGGCAGGGGAGGCAGGCCGAGCCGGUGCUGGUGCCCGCUCUGAUGGCUUCGACCACUUCCGGCGGUGCUUCGGCCACCGACGGGCUCGGGGCAGCCUACCACACAUGCUUGGGUGCCCCUUGGCCCUGGGGAAUUGUCGGGGGCGACGUGGCGGCCGAUUUUACAGAAAGUAAUUUCCAGAAAACAAGCCUUUGUGUUCACAAGCCCCAGGACUACUAUUAACUGGCGGACACUCACUUGAUACAGAAAUCCCAAGAAAAUUACAAAGUCUGGGUUACAAGACCAUGAAGGUCCACUGGUUUGGACAAAAGCCUUAGGCUGAUGACAGAAGCGACUCGAAGAUCCUCUAGUGCUCAUGGGUGUCCAUGUCCACAGGAACAGCUAACCUAGAUAAAUUACUAUCUCACAAGGCUGCUAUCCUCGACUCCUAGGUUCCGGGGUUGACGGCAUCGUACUCCUCUCCGAAAGCAAUCUGGCCAAGACAAUAGCCAGGGACAAGCUAGUGAUUACUUUGAAUGUACUCACAAACAUCAAGAAAACAGAUAAGUCAAAGCAGGUGAGAUGCCUGCAUAAUACACCUAAUAACUCUAUCAUGCCAUUAAUUCACGGAUGCAUUCAUGCAGAUAAAUCAUUUCCACCAAUGAUGUAUAAGAAAGCAAGGAAGGGUAGUACUCAAUUUUAAGCUUGUCGAUCGGGUGUCUGAGGCGACACCUCGGAAGGACAAGUACCAGAAGCCACAGCCAGGCGUCUUAGUGGCACCACAUAAAGGGACUUGUCAAUGAAAUGUUAAUAAACAUGCCACAAUUGGGCGUCUGGGGCGACACCUCAAAAAGGGCUUAUAUGAAAGUAAUAACAAUUGUCGGUGUCGGGCGUCUAAGCGACACCACAGAAAGGGCUUAUCUGAAAGAAAUAACAGUUGCCACAAUCGGGCGUCUAUGCGACAUCGCAGAAAGGGCAUAUAUGAGAUCAACACUGAGUACCCAAGAGGUAGAACUGUCCCGAGGAUACUCUAAUAAUUCCAUAUAUCACAUAUGAUUAGUCCAAAUCAGAAUUCCUAAAGAUAAUAAUAACAAUUAUCACCUCGGAUAAUUUGUAUCACUCCAUUCAAAUUUAAUUCCUCCGAAGACCGGCACUUGACAAGUCAACCAGUCUUCCUUGACCGUGGACGUGGCUACUCGAAUAGUUUUGACUCUGUAGAGGGUGUACUCUUUACCCGCUGACCAUGGGUUUCAAUAGUCACUCUGACUAAUCCCGUGUAUGGUAUUUUAGAAGUAAGUACUCGAAACCAGCACACACCCAUUUUUCCACUUCGUAGAACUAACUCUCCGGGACUACGCUACCAUGGAAAAAACUAUAAGACGGGGAGGCUCCAACCUCUACUAGCAUGGGAUCAAAUUUAUACCGCGCGCUACAAGGGAAGGGCCAUUCCCUCUGGGUCCCACACAGGAAACACCCAUGCCCCUUGACUGGAUGACUGGAUUUAGUCCAGGGCCAUGGAUACCUUCAUCCCGACCUCUCUACUUGGUGUGUACCUGGUAAUAGGGUUACGACCUACUAGACUGUAUUCCCUUUCGGGAAGACAUGUGGCAGCACGAAAGGUAUGGUGACACACUGACAAGACUCGAUAUACGGUCGACUUAGGAGGUUUAAGUUUCCCUGCAAGGGCUAGUACCACAAGAUUUGCUAAGUGACAUACCUCAGGGUUACCACCAUCACACCCUGACAUGCCUUCACUAACCACUCUCGUCCCACGAGAUGUUAGUCCCAUGGUCUCAUAUUCACCACAACACACCUUCCUCUGAGGUUGUCCAUACCAACUUGGCAUACGAGGCAUGAGGUAGUGCCCACUCACCAUUGUCUCACAUAUAUUUAGCAACAAAAAUAUCCAUCACAUGCACUCAUGCAAGGUAUGAUUGUAUGCGAGGUUUUAUCAAUAUAAUCCAGAAUCACACAAUCGAUGCACCACUCACACAACUUCAUGCCAAUCAGAGCUCAAGAUGCUUGCCUUUGGAGUUUUAGAAGGGUGGUGUGCACCCCAAAAUCUUGAAGUAAGUCUCCUCUCUCCAAUUUCCUAUUUUAAAAAUAUUUAAAUUAACACACACUUACAAAACAGCACAUAAAAUUUGUUUGAAUUUUUUGAAAUAAAUCUGUAAAUAAACUAGAGGAAAAUGGAGAGAGGUAGGAAAAAGAAUCGGUCCAUUUGGAGUUGCGGUUAAAAAGUUAUGAGCAGUCAAACUCUAUUUUUAAAACAAAACAGAAAGGAAAACGUUGCGCAUUGAAUAAGUCUUGUAGAAGAGAAAGCAUAUUUAUUAGAACUCUUCGGGUAGAGUACGCCUUCGGAAAUAGGAAACGUACCCGAUGGCUUGAAAGCUUUCACACGGUGAAUGCGUACUCCGUGCAGUACGCGUCCUCGAAGAGAAAGCGCAUCUGGCGCGGUGUGCCAACAGCGAGGGAGGACGGCUCACUGAUAGGUGGGGCCACCCUAUCAUAUUCGUCUCCCUCCUCAAUGCGCGUGAUGACACACAGCCGGGGCGAAUUCUGGCGCCGAUUGCCGGCGACUCAAGGCACCACACGACGCGUUCCAGCUAUGCAUACACUCGGGGGGGAAUGCGCCGCAUCCAGUUUUGGAGGCUAGGGGCAUG